rnacentral:rRNA from 1 species
CUACGGGGUGCACCAGUGGGGAAUAUUGCACAAUGGGCGCAAGCCUGAUGCAGCCAUGCCGCGUGUAUGAAGAAGGCCUUCGGGUUGUAAAGUACUUUCAGCGGGGAGGAAGGGAGUAAAGUUAAUACCUUUGCUCAUUGACGUUACCCGCAGAAGAAGCACCGGCUAACUCCGUGCCAGCAGCCGCGGUAAUACGGAGGGUGCAAGCGGUAAUCGGAAUUACUGGGCGUAAAGCGCACGCAGGCGGUUUGUUAAGUCAGAUGUGAAAUCCCCGGGCUCAACCUGGGAACUGCAUCUGAUACUGGCAAGCUUGAGUCUCGUAGAGGGGGGUAGAAUUCCAGGUGUAGCGGUGACAUGCGUAGAGAUCUGGAGGAAUACCGGUGGCGAAGGCGGCCCCCUGGACGAUGACUGACGCUCAGGUGCGAAAGCGUGGGGAGCAAACAGGAUUAGAUACCCGUGUAGUC